CAUAGGUUAAUGAGGCGAACCGGGGGAACUGAAACAUCUAAGUACCCCGAGGAAAAGAAAUCAACCGAGAUUCCCCCAGUAGCGGCGAGCGAACGGGGAGCAGCCCAGAGCCUGAAUCAGUGUGUGUGUUAGUGGAAGCGUCUGGAAAGGCGCGCGAUACAGGGUGACAGCCCCGUACACAAAAAUGCACAUGCUGUGAGCUCGAUGAGUAGGGCGGGACACGUGGUAUCCUGUCUGAAUAUGGGGGGACCAUCCUCCAAGGCUAAAUACUCCUGACUGACCGAUAGUGAACCAGUACCGUGAGGGAAAGGCGAAAAGAACCCCGGCGAGGGGAGUGAAAAAGAACCUGAAACCGUGUACGUACAAGCAGUGGGAGCCUCUUUAUGGGGUGACUGCGUACCUUUUGUAUAAUGGGUCAGCGACUUAUAUUCUGUAGCAAGGUUAACCGAAUAGGGGAGCCGAAGGGAAACCGAGUCUUAACUGGGCGUUAAGUUGCAGGGUAUAGACCCGAAACCCGGUGAUCUAGCCAUGGGCAGGUUGAAGGUUGGGUAACACUAACUGGAGGACCGAACCGACUAAUGUUGAAAAAUUAGCGGAUGACUUGUGGCUGGGGGUGAAAGGCCAAUCAAACCGGGAGAUAGCUGGUUCUCCCCGAAAGCUAUUUAGGUAGCGCCUCGUGAAUUCAUCUCCGGGGGUAGAGCACUGUUUCGGCAAGGGGGUCAUCCCGACUUACCAACCCGAUGCAAACUGCGAAUACCGGAGAAUGUUAUCACGGGAGACACACGGCGGGUGCUAACGUCCGUCGUGAAGAGGGAAACAACCCAGACCGCCAGCUAAGGUCCCAAAGUCAUGGUUAAGUGGGAAACGAUGUGGGAAGGCCCAGACAGCCAGGAUGUUGGCUUAGAAGCAGCCAUCAUUUAAAGAAAGCGUAAUAGCUCACUGGUCGAGUCGGCCUGCGCGGAAGAUGUAACGGGGCUAAACCAUGCACCGAAGCUGCGGCAGCGACGCUUAUGCGUUGUUGGGUAGGGGAGCGUUCUGUAAGCCUGUGAAGGUGUGCUGUGAGGCAUGCUGGAGGUAUCAGAAGUGCGAAUGCUGACAUAAGUAACGAUAAAGCGGGUGAAAAGCCCGCUCGCCGGAAGACCAAGGGUUCCUGUCCAACGUUAAUCGGGGCAGGGUGAGUCGACCCCUAAGGCGAGGCCGAAAGGCGUAGUCGAUGGGAAACAGGUUAAUAUUCCUGUACUUGGUGUUACUGCGAAGGGGGGACGGAGAAGGCUAUGUUGGCCGGGCGACGGUUGUCCCGGUUUAAGCGUGUAGGCUGGUUUUCCAGGCAAAUCCGGAAAAUCAAGGCUGAGGCGUGAUGACGAGGCACUACGGUGCUGAAGCAACAAAUGCCCUGCUUCCAGGAAAAGCCUCUAAGCAUCAGGUAACAUCAAAUCGUACCCCAAACCGACACAGGUGGUCAGGUAGAGAAUACCAAGGCGCUUGAGAGAACUCGGGUGAAGGAACUAGGCAAAAUGGUGCCGUAACUUCGGGAGAAGGCACGCUGAUAUGUAGGUGAGGUCCCUCGCGGAUGGAGCUGAAAUCAGUCGAAGAUACCAGCUGGCUGCAACUGUUUAUUAAAAACACAGCACUGUGCAAACACGAAAGUGGACGUAUACGGUGUGACGCCUGCCCGGUGCCGGAAGGUUAAUUGAUGGGGUUAGCGGUAACGCGAAGCUCUUGAUCGAAGCCCCGGUAAACGGCGGCCGUAACUAUAACGGUCCUAAGGUAGCGAAAUUCCUUGUCGGGUAAGUUCCGACCUGCACGAAUGGCGUAAUGAUGGCCAGGCUGUCUCCACCCGAGACUCAGUGAAAUUGAACUCGCUGUGAAGAUGCAGUGUACCCGCGGCAAGACGGAAAGACCCCGUGAACCUUUACUAUAGCUUGACACUGAACAUUGAGCCUUGAUGUGUAGGAUAGGUGGGAGGCUUUGAAGUGUGGACGCCAGUCUGCAUGGAGCCGACCUUGAAAUACCACCCUUUAAUGUUUGAUGUUCUAACGUUGACCCGUAAUCCGGGUUGCGGACAGUGUCUGGUGGGUAGUUUGACUGGGGCGGUCUCCUCCUAAAGAGUAACGGAGGAGCACGAAGGUUGGCUAAUCCUGGUCGGACAUCAGGAGGUUAGUGCAAUGGCAUAAGCCAGCUUGACUGCGAGCGUGACGGCGCGAGCAGGUGCGAAAGCAGGUCAUAGUGAUCCGGUGGUUCUGAAUGGAAGGGCCAUCGCUCAACGGAUAAAAGGUACUCCGGGGAUAACAGGCUGAUACCGCCCAAGAGUUCAUAUCGACGGCGGUGUUUGGCACCUCGAUGUCGGCUCAUCACAUCCUGGGGCUGAAGUAGGUCCCAAGGGUAUGGCUGUUCGCCAUUUAAAGUGGUACGCGAGCUGGGUUUAGAACGUCGUGAGACAGUUCGGUCCCUAUCUGCCGUGGGCGCUGGAGAACUGAGGGGGGCUGCUCCUAGUACGAGAGGACCGGAGUGGACGCAUCACUGGUGUUCGGGUUGUCAUGCCAAUGGCACUGCCCGGUAGCUAAAUGCGGAAGAGAUAAGUGCUGAAAGCAUCUAAGCACGAAACUUGCCCCGAGAUGAGUUCUCCCUGACUCCUUGAGAGUCCUGAAGGAACGUUGAAGACGACGACGUUGAUAGGCCGGGUGUGUAAGCGCAGCGAUGCGUUGAGCUAACCGGUACUAAUGAACCGUGAGGCUUAACCUU
rnacentral:rRNA from 1 species